rnacentral:rRNA from 1 species
GUGCCAGCUGCCGCGGCGAUACGGAGGGUGCAAGCGUUAAUCGGAAUUACUGGGCGUAAAGCGCACGCAGGCGGUCUGUCAAGUCGGAUGUGAAAUCCCCGGGCUCAACCUGGGAACUGCAUUCGAAACUGGCAGGCUAGAGUCUUGUAGAGGGGGGUAGAAUUCCAGGUGUAGCGGUGAAAUGCGUAGAGAUCUGGAGGAAUACCGGUGGCGAAGGCGGCCCCCUGGACAAAGACUGACGCUCAGGUGCGAAAGCGUGGGGAGCAAACAGGAUUAGAUACCCUGGUAGUCCACGCCGUAAACGAUGUCGACUUGGAGGUUGUGCCCUUGAGGCGUGGCUUCCGGAGCUAACGCGUUAAGUCGACCGCCUGGGGAGUACGGCCGCAAGGUUAAAACUCAAAUGAAUUGACGGGGGCCCGCACAAGCGGUGGAGCAUGUGGUUUAAUUCGAUGCAACGCGAAGAACCUUACCUACUCUUGACAUCCAGAGAACUUAGCAGAGAUGCUUUGGUGCCUUCGGGAACUCUGACACAGGUCGCUGC